ACACAUGCAGUCGAACGAUGAAGCCAGCUUGCUGGUGGAUUAGUGGCGAACGGGUGAGUAACACGUGAGUAACCUGCCCUUGACUCUGGGAUAAGCCUGGGAAACCGGGUCUAAUACUGGAUACGACCUUCCCACGCAUGUGGUGUUGGUGGAAAGCUUUUGUGGUUUUGGAUGGACUCGCGGCCUAUCAGCUUGUUGGUGGGGUAAUGGCCUACCAAGGCGACGACGGGUAGCCGGCCUGAGAGGGUGACCGGCCACACUGGGACUGAGACACGGCCCAGACUCCUACGGGAGGCAGCAGUGGGGAAUAUUGCACAAUGGGCGCAAGCCUGAUGCAGCGACGCCGCGUGAGGGAUGAAGGCCUUCGGGUUGUAAACCUCUUUCAGUAGGGAAGAAGCUGAUCCUUUGGGUUGGUGACGGUACCUGCAGAAGAAGCGCCGGCUAACUACGUGCCAGC
rnacentral:rRNA from 1 species